CUUGUGGCUAUCACAAGGUUCAUGUCAUAUUCGAUACCUUACCUUUUAUGUACUAUGAUUAUAGAUGCUUUUAGUCCUUCAGGUAAAAGGCCGAAUAGUAUAUAAGCAAUGAUUUAACCCCGUCUAUAACUAGAUUACUUGGAGUUUAGUUAUUUCUAACAUUUUUAUAUAAAACAAUUAAAACUCAUAAUUGUAAGAAAUCAAUAAAUUAAUAUAUAGUUUUUGUCUUGUACCCUUUAGAUGAUUUUGAACCUUGGUUUAACUUUCUUUUGUGUUUAAGUUUUAAUAUAAUGUGUAUUCCUCUUCAAUUUCUGGCUUAGGUUGUGAUGACGCUCCCCUACUUCCACUGCUUUACAUAAUUACCAAUUUGGCAUUCAAUAUAUCCCUCCUUAAUGCAGUAAAAACUUCUUCUGCAGUUGUAUCUUCUCUUCUAGUAAUGUUGUCAGUGCCCAUAUCUGUUUAUAUUCUUUCUCUACCAUUACCAUAUCUUCCCGAGGGAACAAGCUUGAGCCCAUUUUUUUUGCUUGGCUGUGGAAUUCUUCUGUGUGGUCUCUUACUGUACAACACAUCUCGACCUGUGAGGAACAGCUCUGAAGUGGACUGAAACCGUCCCAGUUCUGAGGAUGAACUAUCGGCUGGGCACCCUGCCCAAAAGAAUAUCAGCAGCCUCCAGGUACUACUGUUCACGGUGAAAUAUAUUUUCUCCAACGUGCUCGAAUUAUACAUACUCACUAUCCUUGCGAUUAUUCUUUUGAGCCGAAAAUUUGUUCGGUUUCCACUUUUGAGUGUCACUUAGUUGCUUUAUGAUGGCUGACUUCCUCGUUCUUCCACUGGAUUAUUGUAACUUAAGAUUAUGCAUAUAUCUCUCAUCACUUGUUCUGGUAUAUUUUCAUGUACAUUAAUACAUAACAGAAAAAUGCAUUUGACAGAAAUGCAAGGUGCGAACAUUUU